AUUGGGCGUAAGCGCGCGCAGGCGGUUCCUUAAGUCUGAUGUGAAAGCCCCCGGCUCAACCGGGGAGGGUCAUUGGAAACUGGGGAACUUGAGUGCAGAAGAGAAGAGUGGAAUUCCACGUGUAGCGGUGAAAUGCGUAGAGAUGUGGAGGAACACCAGUGGCGAAGGCGACUCUUUGGUCUGUAUCUGACGCUGAGGCGCGAAAGCGUGGGGAGAAAACAAUUUUAUAUCCCCUGGUUCCCCCCCCCGUAAAAGAUGAGUGCUAAGUGUUAGGGGUUUCCCCCCUUU
rnacentral:rRNA from 1 species